AUACUAACCUGGAUGGGGAGAAGCAGUGGCCCCAAAGCAGGGUUUCUCAGGGCGUGGCUGACCGAAUCCAUCUUCAAUGUGUUGCUUCCAUAGUUUCCCCAGGUGUGGAAAACUCUUUGCAUAAUUUGUAGUAGUGGUAGACUGGGUUCCCCUCUUGUGUG
rnacentral:snRNA from 13 species